AUAGAAGUUUUAUUGUGGGCGGGGCUAUUCCAUUUCGCGCCAGUUAGGACGAAACCACUGCUUGUUAAAUAAGGUGGUGUACGGUGUAGAUAUUACAGUAUUUUAGAAGUAAAUACGAACCUCAUAAUAAAGAUUACAAGUGGAAACUAUUUCGAAAUGAAGUGGAAAAUUAUUUACAGACUACAGAGCAUUUCAUGUACAGAGAACACAAUUUAACAACACAGCCACCCCUCUUAGUGGAAAUAUGUGCCACUCCUAAUCUGAUAUUUCCCGCGAAUGUACGUUGCCGGUAAAGGUUCAUCCAUAUUUCUUUAUAUAGGGUUAUUAAGGUCAUCAUAUUGCACUCUGGUUUAAAGUGUUUGUUCUGGCUGACUAAAUCCAGGCUGGAGACCCUCGACAAGUUUUAAUCCUGGAUCGAGGAGCAACCAGCAAACCCUGAUCAGAGGCCCUCAGAGACCUGCUCCAGUCACCAUGUCGAAGUGAUCACAGUAACCUGGAAUCGGAUUCUGAAUUUGAUGGGGAGCCAGUGAAGAGUGCCGCCUUUUGGAGGACCUGGUCUAAAGCUCUGCUGAGGCAGGUGAAGAGGGGGUCCAGUAGUAAAGACGGGACGAGAUAAAAGCGUGAAAUAUCAUUUCCAUUUCCGCGAGAGAGCGCUGGUGUGUGUGUGUGUGUGUGUGGCUGCAGCUGCUGUGGACUUUGUAUUGUUUACACACGUCCGUGUUGUCUGACUUGGUGAUGUUUUAUUCUGCUGCUUGAGCUGUGUCCUGUUAUCUGGUUCAUUCGGGGGAGGCUUGUGUAUUUCUACUUGAUAAUCAGCUGUGUGCUCAAGAGUCCGCCUGUAGAAAAGAGAAACGGGAUGGUCACACCCGGUAACGCCCUUUAACCCCAUGCCCCACUGAUCCAGCCACACCUGUUCCUCACCCUGUAUCUGCUCAUGAUGAUCAGUGUAUUGACCAAAUGUAGAGAUUUAUAUUCACUCUGUGCUGCGAGCUGUUGCGGUUUCUGCUUGUUGGCUGGCAACAAGAGAAGAUGAAAUCUUCCCUGUGAUGUACCAUAGGCAGACCACAUACUGUGAAACAUGAAGAGGUUUAUUUCUCCAUGUACAAUGUAGGCGAAUCAUACCCUCCUCUCUUGUUCCAACAUAGCUGCUGUAAGUCAUUUCCCUUGGGAUUAAUAAAGUAUUCUAUCUGUGUGUCUUAUCCUUUUCAAAGCACUUGUAACGCACCCAUACUAGUGCUAGAAACCGUGCUCCUGCCUCAGGUUUUCUUCAGCAAGAAGUAUCUGCUUUUGGCAAACACAGUUUUCAGCAGAAAUUGUACUUCCCAUUUGACUAAAUGCACACGCCAAAUGCAGGAGUGACUGUUGUAAUCAUCCCAGGUUUCACGCAGUUGCUCUGUGGACAGUUAAGCUCUGGGUGAACACGCUUGUUUUUGGGAAGUCUGAUCAGAUGUGGCAACACUUCAGACUGGAACUUUGUGGGAUUUCCAGUGAAAUCUGCUGACUUGUGUUCAGCAGAAACUGGGCCACACUCUGGCAGUUUAGGAUUCAGGUUAACUAGCCAAUGAGUGGCUCGUACGUCGACGUACACACAUUUACGGCCAUUGUGUUGAGACCCAACCUUCAUAUACAGCUGUCCUGUUCUAACAUCUUAUUUAUUUACAGCAAACACUGGUCCCAGAGUCCCUUUCAAACGGAAUUUAGUUGCCUUUAUUAUGAAAACAAGAACAUUGUAUUUUAUAUAUGCAAUUCUGUACUGAUAUUACACAGCAACUGGCAAACAGACCCUAUGUAACUGGCAGUGGAUAUGCCAAAUGAAUGUAGAAUAAAUAAUUCCAACAUCUCACCAAGAAUCACAGACAGGUCCUCCGAUUUCAUACAGUCUGGUUGUACAAUAUUUAUUUUCUGUUGUUACAUUUUCAAAAGUGUUACAUGUUGGGCAACAAACUUUGUUGUAUUCAGCCACAAAUUUAAUGCAGAGAUAGUCAAGACUAUCCCAAUAACGUACUGAACACUACAGAACAGGCAAGUCAGAUCUGACAUAAUAUAUACAUAAUGUUUAUGUACAUAUACUGUUGCACUAGACUUUAGAUGCUGGACUGUGAGACACUGCUGUGCAGAGGUUGGCGAGGAAAAAAAAACAACACACACCUUCAAAUGGCAGACUGACAGACACAUGCUGAUACAAACAGCAAAAUAAUCACUGAACGAAAAGAGAAACAGAAACCUUAAUGAAA